UGGUGUAGCACAGUGGUAGUGCAGCUGAUUCGUAAUCAGCAGGUCGAGGGUUCAAUCCCCUCCACC
rnacentral:tRNA from 1 species